rnacentral:sRNA from 1 species
AGGAAGACCAGCCUGCCUCUGGUCGGUUCCCGGCGCUCUGCGUUUCGUGACCUUGUCCAGUAGAAGGCUAUUUAAUUUUCACAACUGCUUGAAUUUUGACAUACAAGAUGAAGCAAGAUGCCUCAAGAAAUGCUGCCUACACUGUGGAUUGUGAAGAUUAUGUGCAUGUGGUAGAAUUUAAUCCCUUUGAGAAUGGGGAUUCAGGAAACCUAAUUGCAUAUGGUGGCAAUAAUUAUGUGGUCAUUGGCACGUGUACGUUUCAGGAAGAAGAAGCAGACGUUGAAGGCAUUCAGUAUAAAACACUUCGAACAUUUCACCAUGGAGUCAGGGUUGAUGGCAUAGCUUGGAGCCCAGAGACUAGACUUGAUUCAUUGCCUCCAGUAAUCAAAUUUUGUACUUCAGCUGCUGAUAUGAAAAUUAGAUUAUUUACUUCAGAUCUUCAGGAUAAAAAUGAAUAUAAGGUUUUAGAGGGCCAUACCGAUUUCAUUAAUGGUUUGGUGUUUGAUCCCAAAGAAGGCCAAGAAAUUGCAAGUGUGAGUGACGAUCACACCUGCAGGAUUUGGAACUUGGAAGGAGUGCAGACAGCUCAUUUUGUUCUUCAUUCUCCUGGCAUGAGUGUGUGCUGGCAUCCUGAGGAGACUUUUAAGCUAAUGGUUGCAGAGAAGAAUGGAACAAUCCGGUUUUAUGAUCUUUUGGCCCAACAGGCUAUUUUAUCUCUUGAAUCAGAACAAGUGCCAUUAAUGUCAGCACACUGGUGCUUAAAAAACACCUUCAAAGUUGGAGCCGUUGCAGGAAAUGAUUGGUUAAUUUGGGAUAUUACUCGGUCCAGGUACUUUCUUGAUAUGUUUGUCUAUUACACACAAAAAAAGGCAGUAACUGUUGCUAAAUGAUCCACUCAUCUAUCCUGUUAUACCUGAGACUAUGCUGUCAAGCGAAAGCAAGUCUUUCCUAUAGAAGGCCGGAGCUAUGGAUUUUUAUAUAACAUAAACUUGCUAUGCAGAUUUACUCUGGGAGUAACCCAGAAAGGACAGUGCAGAAGAGGAAAUCUUGGAUCUGUGCAAUGUUUACUUAUAUUGGAAAAUAAGAAAAACACCGACCCUGUUGCAUGAUGGUUCCCUGCAGUGGUUCUGUCUUUAUUGUAUUUCAUCUG